CAGGCCUCACCGUUGCGGCCACAGAAGCUUCGGUUGAAGCCGUGCUCACAGAUCUCAGGCACUGUGGACGCCGACGUGCCGUGGUACAGGACCUGCUCUGCAGGUUGCUGUGUGCAGCGCUGCACCAGACGAUCCCGGUGCAGCUGGUACUGCUGCUCCAGCAGCGGGUGUGACACUCGCUGCACCUGCCAGAAAGCAGAACCUACAGCUAAGCCUCUUCAGGGAAAAGCCCAGCAGGAUGCCUACACUGCCCUCAGGACUUCAUUCCCUACACCAGAUGCCCGAAGACCUCAGUGCUGGAAGACCCAGGUCACAACUGAGACCUCAGUGAUCCCGGACGCUGUAAUGCUCCAGGACAAGACCACACCUGCACC